GCAAGUCGAGCGGCAGCGGAAAGUAGCUUGCUACUUGCCGGCGAGCGGCGGACGGGUGAGUAAUGUCUGGGAAACUGCCUGAUGGAGGGGGAUAACUACUGGAAACGGUAGCUAAUACCGCAUGACGUCGCAAGACCAAAGUGGGGGACCUUCGGGCCUCACGCCAUCGGAUGUGCCCAGAUGGGGUUAGCUAGUAGGUGAGGUAAUGGCUCACCUAGGCGACGAUCCCUAGCUGGUCUGAGAGGAUGACCAGCCACACUGGAACUGAGACACGGUCCAGACUCCUACGGGAGGCAGCAGUGGGGAAUAUUGCACAAUGGGCGCAAGCCUGAUGCAGCCAUGCCGCGUGUGUGAAGAAGGCCUUAGGGUUGUAAAGCACUUUCAGCGAGGAGGAAGGCGUUGUAGUUAAUAGCUGCAACGAUUGACGUUACUCGCAGAAGAAGCACCGGCUAACUCCGUGCCAGCAGCCGCGGUAAUACGGAGGGUGCAAGCGUUAAUCGGAAUUACUGGGCGUAAAGCGCACGCAGGCGGUUUGUUAAGUCAGAUGUGAAAUCCCCGAGCUUAACUUGGGAACUGCAUUUGAAACUGGCAAGCUAGAGUCUUGUAGAGGGGGGUAGAAUUCCAGGUGUAGCGGUGAAAUGCGUAGAGAUCUGGAGGAAUACCGGUGGCGAAGGCGGCCCCCUGGACAAAGACUGACGCUCAGGUGCGAAAGCGUGGGGAGCAAAC
rnacentral:rRNA from 1 species